CGUGGCACGUUUAUCUUGCAUGAUGCCAUUACGAGAACUAUUUGCUUCAUGUUGUUACUGGAAAUUCUGGUGUCCCAAUAAUGGUGCAAUUAGAAGAAAAGUGUAGACCGAUCGUCAGUAGAAUACGAGAUUGGCAGUGCUCUAUUACUGACAAUUAGCCAGCUUAUUAGAGGCGAGGUGGCUGUUUGGUAUGCUACUAUGUAUUUCAUCUCACAAGUUGGUUUGUUUAAGUGUUGUCAAACUAAUGAAGUUUUUUACCUCCAUUUUUAAUCGGUCAUUUUUCUUGCUGCCACAAAAUUUUGGUAUUUUAUUUGGUAAAAUGUUACUACAUAUCAAUAUUGGAGGAAUUAUUCAAAAUUAAUUAAAAGUGACAUUCUUCUCUAAGUUUCUCUCGCUCAAAAUUGGCAACUUUGGAGUUCAAUAAAACAAACUCAUAAAUGCAAGGUCAACCGGUUAACCUUUUUCCAAAUAAUUACGACCUCCUCCGUAAAUUUAUAAGCUAAUUGUUAAUCUUGUAGGUACUGCUGUACGUUUUUAUUAAUUAACAUGUAUCUGGUGUAUAAAAUAGUGAGACCUUUUCUUUUUGGGAGAGCAUGAGCAACUUCGGAGUCAUUCUUCAACAAAUAUUCCAUAUAAAACAAUUAAAAAUUUCUAACACUAGCAAUUAAAAUUGAUUUUUUAUAAUAUGAAAUCUGAAAUAAAAAAAUUCAGGUAUAGCGAAGUUAAUGAAAUAAGUUAUCAUUCGUUACAACACCAGUUUUUGUGAAAAAACGGACCGCUGCAAUAAAACAUUUUUUUUCACGCAAA